rnacentral:rRNA from 1 species
GACGAACGCUGGCGGCGUGCUUAACACAUGCAAGUCGAACGGAAAGGCCCUGCUUUUGUGGGGUGCUCGAGUGGCGAACGGGUGAGUAACACGUGAGUAACCGGCCCUUGACUUUGGGAUAACUUCAGGAAACUGGGGCUAAUACCGGAUAGGAGCUCCUGCUGCAUGGUGGGGGUUGGAAAGUUUCGGCGGUUGGGGAUGGACUCGCGGCUUAUCAGCUUGUUGGUCGGGUAGUGGCUUACCAAGGCAUUGACGGGUAGCCGGCCUGAGAGGGUGAACGGGGUCAUUGGGACUACGAGACGGAGCAGUCUGGAACGGUAGGCAGUAGUGGGAAACCUGGUCCAGUGAGCCGGAGCCUGAUGAGGCGACGUCGCGUGUGUGAUGACGGCCUUCGGGUUAUAAACCGCAUUAGCCUGAGACGAAGCGGGAGUGACGGUAAUGGGUAAAGAAGCACCGGCUAACUACGUG